rnacentral:rRNA from 1 species
UACAGAGGUCCCAAGCGUUGUUCGGAAUUACUGGGCGUAAAGGGCUCGUAGGUGGCCAACUAAGUCAGACGUGAAAUCCCUCGGCUUAACCGGGGAACUGCGUCUGAUACUGGUUGGCUUGAGUUUGGGAGAGGGACGCGGAAUUCCAGGUGUAGCGGUGAAAUGCGUAGAUAUCUGGAGGAACACCGGUGGCGAAGGCGGCAUCCUGGACCGACACUGACGCUGAGGCGCGAAAGCUAGGGUAGCAAACGGG